AACGAACGCUGGCGGCAGGCCUAACACAUGCAAGUCGAACGCUGUAGCAAUACAGAGUGGCAGACGGGUGAGUAACGCGUGGGAACAUGCCCUUCGGUUCGGAAUAACUCAGGGAAACUUGAGCUAAUACCGGAUACGCCCUUAGGGGGAAAGAUUUAUUGCCGAAGGAUUGGCCCGCGUCCGAUUAGCUAGUUGGUGAGGUAAUGGCUCACCAAGGCGACGAUCGGUAGCUGGUCUGAGAGGAUGAUCAGCCACACUGGGACUGAGACACGGCCCAGACUCCUACGGGAGGCAGCAGUGGGGAAUAUUGGACAAUGGGCGCAAGCCUGAUCCAGCCAUGCCGCGUGAGUGAUGAAGGCCCUAGGGUUGUAAAGCUCUUUCGCCAGGGACGAUAAUGACGGUACCUGGAUAAGAAGCCCCGGCUAACUUCGUGCCAGCAGCCGCAGUAAAAC
rnacentral:rRNA from 1 species